rnacentral:rRNA from 1 species
GGUUCGAUUCUGGCUCAGAUUGAACGCUGGCGGGAUGCUUUACACAUGCAAGUCGAACGGCAGCACGGACUUCGGUCUGGUGGCGAGUGGCGAACGGGUGAGUAAUGUAUCGGAACGUGCCUAGUAGCGGGGGAUAACUACGCGAAAGCGUAGCUAAUACCGCAUACGCCCUUCGGGGGAAAGCGGGGGACCUUCGGGCCUCGCACUAUUAGAGCGGCCGAUAUCGGAUUGGCCUAGUUGGUGGGGUAACGGCUCGCAGGGCGACGAUCCGUAGCUGGUUUGAGGACAUUAGCCACACUGGGACUGAGACACGGCUUGAACUCCUACGGGAGGCAGCAGUGGGAAUUUUUGGACAAUGGAAACCCUGAUCCCAGCCAUCCCGCGUGUGCGAUGAAGGCCUUCGGGUUGUAAAGCACUUUUGGCAGGAAAGAAACGGCACGGGAUAAUACCCGUGCAACUGACGGCUCACCUGCAGAAUAAGCACCGGCUAACUACGUGCCAGCAGCCGCGGUAAUACGUAAGUGCAAGCGUUAAUCGGAAUUACUGGGCGUAAAGCGUGCGCAGGCGGUUCGGAAAAGAAAGAUGUGAAAUCCCAGAGCUUAACUUUGGAGACACGUUUUUAACUACCGAGCUAGAGUGUGUCAGAGAGGAGGUGGAAUUCCGCGUGUAGCAGUGAAAUGCGUAGAUAUGCGGAGGAACACCGAUGGCGAAGGCAGCCUCCUGGGAUAACACUGACGCUCAUGCACGAAAGCGUGGGGAGCAAACAGGAUUAGAUACCCUGGUGGUCCACGCCCUAAACGAUGUCCGCUAGCUGUUGGGGCCUUCGGGCCUUGGUAGCGCAGCCCCAACGCGUGAAGUUGACCGCCUGGGGGUACAGUCGCAAGAUUAAAACUCGAAAUUGACAGGGACCCACGCACAAGCGGUGGAUGAUGUGGAUUAAUUCGAUGCAACACCCAGAAAACCUUACCUACCCUUGACAUGUCUGGAAUCCCGAGAUUUGGGAGUGCUCGCAAGAGAACCGGAACACAGGUGCUGCAUGGCUGUCGUCAGCUCAUUGUCGUGAGAUGUUGGGUUAGUCCCGCAACGAGCGCAACCCUUGUCAUUAGUUGCUACGAAAGAGGGCACUCAGCCUGAAGGACUGUCAGUGACUGGAAGCCGGAGGAAGGUGGGGAUGACGUCAAGUCCUCAUGGCCCUUAUGGGUAGGGCUUCACACGUCAUACAAUGGUCGGGACAGAGGGUCGCCAACCCGCGAGGGGAGCCAAUCCCAGAAACCCGAUCGUAGUCCGGAUCGCAGUCUGCAACUCGACUGCGUGAAGUCGGAAUCGCUAGUAAUCGCGGAUCAGCAUGUCGCGGUGAAUACGUUCCCGGGUCUUGUACACACCGCCCGUCACACCAUGGGAGUGGGUUUUACCAGAAGUAGUUAGCCUAACCGUAAGGAGGGCGAUUACCACGGUAGGAUUCAUGACUGGGGUGAAGUCGUAACAAGGUAG